UGAUGACGAGACGCUAAGGCGUUGAAGUGGUGUAUGUCAGACUUCCAAGAAAAGCUCGCAAUGUCAUAGAUAAAAAAUGCCUGUACCAUAACCGACACAGGUGGGUAGGUAGAGUAUACUAAGGGGCGCGAGAUAACUCUCUCUAAGGAACUCGGCAAAAUGACUCCGUAACUUCGGGAGAAGGAGUGCCUUAUUUAUAAGGUUGCAAUAACAAGAUCCAAGCAACUGUUUAUCAAGAACACAGGUCUCCGCUAAGUCGUAAGACGAUGUAUGGGGGCUGACGCCUGCCCAGUGCCAGAAGGUUAAAGAAGUUGGUUAGUGUAAGCGAAGCUGAUAACUGAAGCCCUGGUGAACGGCGGCCGUAACGAUAACGGUCCUAAGGUAGCGAAAUUCCUUGUCGGGUAAGUUCCGACCCGCACGAAAGGCGUAAUGAUUUGGAUACUGUCUCGGAGAGAGGCUCGGUGAAAUAGACUUGUCUGUGAAGAUGCGGACUACCUGCACCAGGACAGAAAGACCCUAUGAAGCUUUACUGUAACUUGAAAUUGGAAUUGGACUUUGCUUGCGCAGUAUAGGUGGGAAGCGUUGAAGAUACUCUUGCGGGACUAUUGGAGCUAUCAGUGAGAUACCACUCUUGUAAUGUUAGAUUUCUAACUUUGAACCAUAAUCUGGUCAAAGAACAGUUACAGGCGGGCAGUUUGACUGGGGCGGUCGCCUCCUAAAUGGUAACGGAGGCGUACAAAGGUUUCCUCUGAACGGAUAGAAAUCGUAUCUAGAGUGUAAAGGCAUAAGGAAGCUUGACUGUGAGACCUACAAGUCGAGCAGGGACGAAAGUCGGUCUUAGUGAUCUGACGGUACUGAGUGGAAAGGCCGUCACUCAACGGAUAAAAGUUACUCUAAGGAUAACAGGCUGAUCUCCCCCAAGAGUUCACAUCGACGGGGAGGUUUGGCACCUCGAUGUCGGCUCAUCGCAUCCUGGGGCGGUAGUACGUCCCAAGGGUUGGGCUGUUCGCCCAUGAAAGCGGUACGCGAGCUGGGUUCAGAACGUCGUGAGACAGUUCGGUCCAUAUCCGGUGUAGGCGUUAGAAUAUUGAGAGGAGCCUUCUUUAGUACAAGAGGACCGAGAAGGACACACCGCUGGUGUACCAGUUAUCGUGCCAACGGUAAACGCUGGGUAGCUGUGUGUGGAGAGGAUAACCGCUGAAAGCAUCUAAGUGGGAAGCCCACCUCAAGAUGAGUAUUCUCA
rnacentral:rRNA from 1 species